AAAAGUGCAACUCAACAUUAGAUAAGUAUCCUGUAUUCAUGCUACUCUAACUUCCAGAAUGAAUUUUGAAUAAACUUCAACCAUUGCUCAAUAGUUCCAGAAGUAUAGCACCAACAGUGUCCAAAGUUAAAACACAAUAUACAAAUUUAGCUACUACGAAGAAUGGCAAGACCACAAUUAAUUGAGCAUAUAAACAUAGAAUUGAAGAUAAACAAACAAAUUCAGCUGUGAUGGUUCCAAGCUUUCACUUCAUCCUCAAUGCAACACAUACAUCCAACAGAAUUUCAAGAGAAUAUACUUGGCAAUACAAAGAGAAUAAAAAGAAGGAGAGGUCAGCAGCAGUAGCUCAGUGUUAAUUGCAGCAUUAACAGAUAAAUCAGCUUGAAUCAAGUUGAAAUCAACAGAAACCCAGACAAUAUUCAACGACCAAAAGGCCACCAAAAUUGAACCAGAAAACUCUUGAAAACCAACCCCAAAUUCAAGUCAUUUUCAUGCUCUAAUUGAAUCAACAACUUUCAGUACCCAAUAGUGAAACAUUACAUGUAAGAAACCAAUCUAAAAUAUCAAUUGGAACCAGCUGAUCUCAACAUCUGACUUUUAUGGCUAAGUUCUAAACCAUUUCCUGAGUGUUUUAUCACCAAAAAUCUCUUGUUUUUAUCACUGAAACACUCCUAAUCUCUUCGGAACUUUAUCUCUCUAAUUUUUAAGCUCUCCAAUCUCUUAAAGUCUAUGAAACAGUAAAUGUAUGCCACCUUUAUUUUCUGGAUUUUCAGCUCUUACAUCUC
rnacentral:lncRNA from 1 species